UUGCUCUUUGGGUGACGAGCGGCGGACGGGUGAGUAAUGUCUGGGAAACUGCCUGAUGGAGGGGGAUAACUACUGGAAACGGUAGCUAAUACCGCAUAACGUCGCAAGACCAAAGUGGGGGACCUUCGGGCCUCAUGCCAUCAGAUGUGCCCAGAUGGGAUUAGCUAGUAGGUGAGGUAAUGGCUCACCUAGGCGACGAUCCCUAGCUGGUCUGAGAGGAUGACCAGCCACACUGGAACUGAGACACGGUCCAGACUCCUACGGGAGGCAGCAGUGGGGAAUAUUGCACAAUGGGCGCAAGCCUGAUGCAGCCAUGCCGCGUGUAUGAAGAAGGCCUUCGGGUUGUAAAGUACUUUCAGCGAGGAGGAAGGCGUUAAGGUUAAUAACCUUGUCGAUUGACGUUACUCGCAGAAGAAGCACCGGCUAACUCCGUGCCAGCAGCCGCGGUAAUACGGAGGGUGCAAGCGUUAAUCGGAAUUACUGGGCGUAAAGCGCACGCAGGCGGUCUGUCAAGUCGGAUG
rnacentral:rRNA from 1 species